CCUACGGGGGGCAGCAGUGGGGAAUAUUGGGCAAUGGGCGCAAGCCUGACCCAGCAACGCCGCGUGAAGGAAGAAGGCUUUCGGGUUGUAAACUUCUUUUAUCAGGGACGAAGCAAGUGACGGUCCCUGAUUCAUACGCCACGGCUAACUACGUGCCCGCAGCCGCGGUAAUACGUAGGUGGCAAGCGUUAUCCGGAUUUGCUGGGUGUAAAGGGCGUGUAGGCGGGAGUGCAAGUCAGAUGUGAAAACUAUGGGCUCAACCCAUAGCCUGCAGUUGAACCUGUACUUCUUGAGUGCGGGAGAGGCAAGCGGAAGUCCGGGGGUAGCGGUGAAAUGAGAAGAUA
rnacentral:rRNA from 1 species